UACGUAGGUCCCGAGCGUUGUCCGGAUUUAUUGGGCGUAAAGCGAGCGCAGGUGGUUUAUUAAGUCUGGUGUAGAAGGCAGUGGCUCAACCAUUGUAUGCAUUGGAAACUGGUAGACUUGAGUGCAGGAGAGGUGAGUGGAGUUCCAUGUGUAGCGGUGAAAUGCGUAGAUAUAUGGAGGAACACCGGUGGCGAAAGCGGCUCUCUGGCCUGUAACUGACACUGAGGCUCGAAAGCGUAGGGAGCAAACAGG
rnacentral:rRNA from 1 species